AAGUCGUAACAAGGUUUCCGUAGGUGAACCUGCGGAAGGAUCAUUAAUAAAUGAGCGCAAGCUUUUAUAUUAUCUUUCUACACCUGUGAACUAUUUGCCUUCGGGCACUACAACAAACAUAAUGUAAUGAAUGUAAACUAUUAUAACAAAAUUAUAACUUUCAACAACGGAUCUCUUGGCUCUCA
rnacentral:misc_RNA from 1 species